rnacentral:rRNA from 1 species
AUUUUUAUAGAGAUUAAAAAAUAAAUUAUAUUUUAUAUAAAAAUAUAUAAGUAUUUUAAAAAGACGAUAAGACCCUAAAAGCUUUAUUAAAAAAACACAUAAGCGGUGUUUCGUGUGUUUUAUAAAUUAAUUGGGGUAAUUAUAAUAAUUAAUUUGUUAUUAAAAAAAAUUUUUUAAUGUAAUUGAUUUUUUAAAUAAGGAUUAUUUGAGUUAGUUACUUUAGGGGUAACAGCACAAUAAUUGUAUUUAGUUCAAAUAAAUAAAAUUGGUUGUGACCUCGAUGUUGAAUUAAUAUAAGAGCACAGUGUAGAAGAGUGUUUGAUAGGUUUGUUCACCCUUUAAAAAUUUACGUGAUUU